rnacentral:lncRNA from 1 species
AGGUGGAAGAGGUUGUGUUAAGACUGGUUCUAAUUGAUUUGGUUUCUCAGGUUCUUUAGCUCGUUGCUCUUGGGAGACAUUCUCUUUGAGCUUAAUUAUUCUUCCGAUGCCACCAUCUUGAAUAAACUAUUUUUCAAAAAAAAUAGCAUUUCGACUCACAAUCACGUUGUGGUCUUCCGAAAUAUAAAAAUAGUAUCCUAAUGAC